UACGAAGGGGGCUAGCGUUGCUCGGAAUUACUGGGCGUAAAGGGCGCGUAGGCGGCCUGUUAAGUCGAACGUGAAAUCCCCGGGCUCAACCCGGGAACUGCGUCCGAUACUGGCAGGCUUGAAUCCGGGAGAGGGAUGCGGAAUUCCAGGUGUAGCGGUGAAAUGCGUAGAUAUCUGGAGGAACACCGGUGGCGAAGGCGGCAUCCUGGACCGGCAUUGACGCUGAGGCGCGAAAGCCAGGGGAGCAAACAGG
rnacentral:rRNA from 1 species